UGCCGUCGGCGAACCUUGUCGUCACGGGAGGUGAUCCGGCAUCGCGUUCUUGCUGCUUUGAGCCACCAGCACCGCUGCUGCUACCCCAAAAUUCCGUUUCUGUUUCUUAGGGUUUGCUAUCUCAGCCCCUUAAAGUUACGUUGGUUCUGUUCUUGCCGUUACCUGAAUCUUUGCCGCCGUGGGUAUUGCCGUUGGAGCCGCUGGAAACCAACGUUGGAGCUGCCCUUGAUGAUUCUGACGCUGCUACGUAGGUUCGGAGCUGCUGUGUUGUUGCCGGAGGAAGGGAACUCAUCAGAAAAAUGUUAUUGAGGCUGAUGUUUGGUUUGAUUGCAUUGUUAACGCGACAUUGAGUGACACAGGUUUGAAGAUUCAGUUUGAAGCUGCGGGCGAUUCUAGAAUUUACUUAUGAGUUAAGUUUAUAACUUGAGUUUCUUUCAUAGAAUUCCCUUGCCUUUGUAGCUUUAGUUUUUAU